AAUACGUGGGUAAUCUGCCUCAGAGUGGGGAAUAACUUACCGAAAGGUGAGCUAAUACCGCAUAAGACCACAAGAUCUGCGGAUCAAGGGGUUAAAGAUUUAUUGCUCUGAGAUGAGCCUGCGUCAGAUUAGGUAGUUGGUGGGGUAAUGGCCUACCAAGCCUACGAUCUGUAGCUGGUCUGAGAGGAUGAUCAGCCACACUGGAACUGAGACACGGUCCAGACUCC
rnacentral:rRNA from 1 species